UACGGAGGGGGCAAGCGUUAUCCGGAUUUACUGGGUGUAAAGGGAGCGUAGACGGUGCAGCAAGUCUGAUGUGAAAGGUCGGGGCCCAACCCCGGGACUGCAUUGGAAACUGUUGAACUGGAGUACAGGAGAGGUAAGCGGAAUUCCUAGUGUAGCGGUGAAAUGCGUAGAUAUACGGAGGAACACCAGUGGCGAAGGCGGCCUGCUGGACAAUAACUGACGCUGAGGCGCGAAAGCGUGGGGAGCAAACAGG
rnacentral:rRNA from 1 species